GAUGAACGCUAGCGGCAGGCCUAAUACAUGCAAGUCGAGGGGUAUCCCGCUUUCGGGCGGGAGAGACCGGCGCACGGGUGCGUAACGCGUAUGCAACCUACCCAUAUCUGGGGGAUAGCCCGGAGAAAUCCGGAUUAACACCGCAUAAAAUCACAGUACGGCAUCGUACAAUGAUCAAAUAUUGAUAGGAUAUGGAUGGGCAUGCGUGUCAUUAGCUGGUUGGCGGGGUAACGGCCCACCAAGGCGACGAUGACUAGGGGACCUGAGAGGAUGGCCCCCCACACUGGAACUGAGACACGGACCAGACUCCUACGGGAGGCAGCAGUAAGGAAUAUUGGUCAAUGGGCGGAAGCCUGAACCAGCCAUGCCGCGUGCAGGAAGACGGCCCUCUGGGUUGUAAACUGCUUUUAUUCGGGAAUAAACCUGCAUACGUGUAUGCAGCUGAACGUACCGAAGGAAUAAGGAUCGGCUAACUCCGUGCCAGCCGCCGCAGUAA
rnacentral:rRNA from 1 species